UAACGCGUGGAUAACCUGCCUUGCACUGGGGGAUAACACUUAGAAAUAGGUGCUAAUACCGCAUAAGCGCACGGAGCCGCAUGGCUCAGUGUGAAAAACUCCGGUGGUGUAAGAUGGAUCCGCGUCUGAUUAGCUGGUUGGCGGGGUAGAAGCCCACCAAGGCGACGAUCAGUAGCCGGCCUGAGAGGGUGAACGGCCACAUUGGGACUGAGACACGGCCCAAACUCCUACGGGAGGCAGCAGUGGGGAAUAUUGCACAAUGGGGGAAACCCUGAUGCAGCAACGCCGCGUGAGUGAAGAAGUCAUUCGUGAUGUAAAGCUCUAUCAGCAGGGAAGAAAAUGACGGUACCUGAGUAAGAAGCCCCGGCUAACUACGUGCCAGCAGCCGCGGUAAUACGUAGGGGGCAAGCGUUAUCCGGAUUUACUGGGUGUAAAGGGAGCGUAGACGGCCAGACAAGUCUGAAGUGAAAAUCCAGCGCUUAACGUUGGAAGUGCUUUGGAAACUGCCGGGCUAGAGUGCAGGAGGGGCAGGCGGAAUUCCUAGUGUAGCGGUGAAAUGCGUAGAUAUUAGGAGGAACACCAGUGGCGAAGGCGGCCUGCUGGACUGCAACUGACGUUGAGGCUCGAAGGCGUGGGGAGCAAACAGGAUUAGAUACCCUGGUAGU
rnacentral:rRNA from 1 species